AUAAAAAGCAAAAAACCCAAAAAAGAUUGUAAGAUGUUAAUUAAAACGUAGAAUAACUACGUAAAGCCGCAGUACGCACGCUCUACAACCUUUUAACCGGUAAUUUUUAACAUAAUUUGAUAGAAAUUUUCAAAGAUUGAGAUAAUAUUCACGAUCUUAUAAUGUUAUUCAUCAAACUUAUUGGUUUAAUUAUAAUCAUCAUACUUAUUAGUUGCAAUUUAGUAUUACUUGAUGGUUUUUCUUUGAUUCUUUGUUCGUGUUAUAAUGCUAAUCAUCAAUUGGAUUGGUAGAAUUUUACAUUAUUUUGUUGCAGGCUAAUCCGGAUCUUCACUUCACUGUGGCUCACUUCUACCUCCUUCUUCUAAUGAAAAAUCAAAAAAAAAUAAGAGAUCAUCAUUCAACGCGUUCGAUUGGACCCGUUCGAUUGGACCCGCUCGAUUGGACCCGGAAACGUCUCUCCUCUCAUCCAGACUUUAAUUGGUUGAGGUCUAAAUCGUGUCGACAAUUUGAGGUGCCCGAUCGUUUGUUCGUGUCUGGAUUCGAUAAUCAGGAUGGAGGAUAUUCGUUCUGGAACGGAUAAAACAAAAGAUACAGAGACUCUUGGAAUUUUUUUUCCUCAUUUCUGAGGUUUUUUUUGUAUACGUAUGAGACCUUUGUGAAGUAUGAGAAAGUAUGAGACCCGUGAACUUUUUUUCCUCAUUUCGGAAUGAGGUUUUUUUUAUAUACGUAUGAGAAUGAGACCCUUGUGAUAAUCAAUUUUUUUUCCUCAUCAUGUUGAGGUUUUUUUUGAAAUACAAAAAUUUGUUUUAACUGUCAAUCACGUCUUAUUUUUUUACAAAGGUUUAGGAUCGUGAAUAUUCUCGCAAUCCGGAGUAGUUUCACUAGAACUGAAAUAUAAUUUCGACUCAAAAUACGUACAAGUUAUAGUCGAAAUACGAUGGUUUGGAGGGGUUUAAUUAAAUUCGGCUCUUUUGAUGACGCUGCCAAAUUUUUAUAGCCGUCGACUGGUUUAUGUGGCAGCCACAGAGAAUAGCCGAAUAUUAAUUUCGACUGGUUAACAGACUUGGUCAAAAUAAAACAGUUCGAUUAUUUAUCAGAACACGUCAUGACAAAUAGUCGAAUUUCAUUUUUCGACGAUUUAUAAAUGUUUGUCCAAAUAAAUUCGGUUAGAAAAAAAUUCGACUGGUUAUCGGAACAGGUUUUAUUUCGAUUAUUUGACUGUAUUUGACAAAAUUAUCAAUUCAGGUAGUUGUCAAACCUCGUCAUAGUUCGUUUAAAAACAAAAUACGUCAUUCGACUAUAUCACAGACUACGUCAAAAUCGUGUUUUUCGUCGACUGUUUGUAGAACGUGCCAAAAUCUUAUUUUUUUUC